CCAAUAAUACAAUUAAGGGGUAGAGAUGAAAUACAAUUUAUUUAUUAUUGUCGUUACUUUUUUAAUACUUGGCCUGUAAAAUUCGACUAAAUUCAACCUUGUUGACACUGAAAAACGUAAUCAUUUUUAUUUACAAAAGUCAAAGUAUAGAACCCAACCCGCUUCCACCAUUGUCGGUAUUUUUGCAACAAUCGAAAACGAGUACUGCAGUAAUUAUUUAUGGUUUCUUAUGACAAUCAACCAUGAAUUCAGUAAAAAAACAAAAAUACAUAGCUAUAGGUACAACUGUUCAAGUAUCAUUCAUACAACAAAACCGAACCAAAAAAUUGUAUA